rnacentral:rRNA from 1 species
UACGUAGGGUGCGAGCGUUGUCCGGAAUUAUUGGGCGUAAAGAGCUCGUAGGCGGUGUGUCACGUCGUUCGUGAAAACCUGCAGCUUAACUGUGGGCGUGCGGUCGAUACGGGCAUCACUGGAGUUCGGCAGGGGAGACUGGAAUUCCUGGUGUAGCGGUGAAAUGCGCAGAUAUCAGGAGGAACACCGGUGGCGAAGGCGGCAUCCUGGACCGGUAUUGACGCUGAGGCGCGAAAGCCAGGGGAGCAAACGGG